CUAAAACUAGAAUUAAACUUCUUUACCUGGAGUGCAGUAGCACCCUAGGGCAUGUCAUUCGUGGCAAUGGUGGGAUUUCUCUCCUUGGUGACUUUCAGGGAUCACCUACACAAAAAGCAUCCCCGGUCUGAUCUGGUGUUGAUGUUAAUGAUGCUCCAAGAAGAAGGAGGCUGGCCUAGAAACCUCCAGAGGUCCUUCUCAAAUGUUUUUUCUAUGAUCUUACAGUUCUGGCCAGGUCUGGGUGCUCUGCCAGUAGAUGUCCCUGCAUGCCUGGCUGUGGUGGAUGUGCUGUCUUUUCCUGGGAAAACUGACUUCCAACACACUGAACAUCACAUCAUUCCCCAUUUUCUUGAAACAGAUAUUGCUUUGGUGCACUGAAUUGAACAAAACAAGACAAACUGAAACCAAAUCCUGCUCAGCACCAGGUACUCAGUGCUUGGUAGGAGUCACUUGGCAAUUUUACAGAUGCUGAGAGUCUCAACCUUCAGCCCAUAAGGUGUUUCCUGUAAUAUGAGAAUUUAUCAGCUGGCUUUCAGAGCCACAUAGGUGAGUUUUAAGUGUUUUCUGCAGUGCUCUGUGCUCUGUAUUAUAAUCCUGCAAUUACAUAUUUGCAUGCCUG
rnacentral:lncRNA from 1 species